rnacentral:rRNA from 1 species
AUGCCACCACCGUCUCUCCCGCUCCUCCUCCCCUUCUCCUCCCCAUUCCUCCACCCUCUCCCCACCUCCGCCUCCCGCCUCCGCAGAUCCCUCUCCCUCUCCCUCUCCCCGUGCCCCCGUCCGCUCGCCUCCCCUUCCCCCUCGUUCGCCGUCGCCGCCGUCAACGACGACGACUACGACUACGACGACGAUGUCGUCCUCGGCGACUGCCUCGUGUUCGAGGACGAGGCCUUCGAGGCCCCCGACCUCGACAUCGGCCGCCCGUCCCCUCGCCCCAGCCGGGCGGCCCGUGGCGGGGGCAGCCUGGUGCCGGAGCGGUGGAAGGACGCCGUGGAGGAGAUCAACCUGACGAAGAAGGAGAAGCGCCGCAUCGCGCACGGGCUGCGCUUCGGGAGCCGCCUCGACCGCCGGGUGCCCUCCGCCGUGGCCGCCCCCGACGAGUACCGCGCGUACCGCGAGGGGAGGCUGGACGCCGAGCUCGGCCACGGCGCGCGCGACUACCUGGUGUCGCCGCUCGAGAGCAAGUCCCGCGCGUACAGUGAGGUGAGGCUGGACACGGAGCCCGGGCGCGCCGUGCGCGACCACGUCGAGCCGCUCGAGGAGAAGCCCCGCGCGCCGGAGAAGGUGGAGGCUCCGCCGCCUCCGCCUCCCGGGACACGCGCGGCGCCCAGGAAUCCUAGGACGGCGAUGGACUCGGUCGGUCUUGAGGACAUCGCGGAGCUGUUUAAUAGUAGCCAGUAUGUGCCAGGCGAGACGGAGGAUGGCAACAGCGCGAGAAGUCGCCGGAAGCUGUUCACGGAUGAGGAAAAGGUUCUUCUGAACAGGAGAUUACCUGAUCUGGAAGGUGCUGCUUCUAGUAAGUGGCUGCCACUUCACACCCUUGCUGCAUCAGGAGACUUCUAUCUAUUGGACAAUCUUCUGAAACAUAAGGUGGAUGUAAAUGCACUUGAUAAGGAUGGUUUGCCAGCAAUUCAUAAAGCAAUUAUUUCGAAGAAGCAUGCUAUCAUCAACUAUCUCUUAAGGAAUUCAGCAAAUCCAUCCGUCUAUGAUAGAGAUGGUGCAACCCUAAUGCAUUAUGCUGUCCAAACAGCAUGCAAUCAGACUAUAAAAACUCUGUUGCUCUACAAUGUUAAUAUCAAUCGCCCAGAUGACUAUGGCUGGACACCGUUGCAUCUAGCCGUGCAAACACAGAGAACCGAUAUUGUGAGGCUACUCUUACUAAAAGGUGCUGAUAGAACGUUGAAAAAUCAAGAUGGAUUGACUCCUUUGGACUUGUGCCUCCGAUUGGGUCAUGAUGUGAGGACAUAUGAGCUUAUCAAAUUACUCAAAAACUUCCGAAUAUCAAAGCAGCAUAACUCGUUUUAA